GACGAACGCUGGCGGCGUGCCUAAUACAUGCAAGUUGAGCGCUGAAGGCUGGUACUUGUACCAACUGGAUGAGCAGCGAACGGGUGAGUAACGCGUGGGGAAUCUGCCUUUGAGCGGGGGACAACAUUUGGAAACGAAUGCUAAUACCGCAUAAAAACUUUAAACACAAGUUUUAAGCUUGAAAGAUGCAAUUGCAUCACUCAAAGAUGAUCCCGCGUUGUAUUAGCUAGUUGGUGAGGUAAAGGCUCACCAAGGCGAUGAUACAUAGCCGACCUGAGAGGGUGAGCUGCCACAUUGGGACGGAGACACGGCCCAAACUACUACGGGAGGCAGCAGUAGGGAACUGUCGGCAAGAGACGAAAGUCUGACCGAGCGACGCCGCGUGAGUGAAGAAGGUUGUCGGAUCGUAAAACUCUGUUAGUAGAGAAGAACGUUGGUGAGAGUGGAAAGCUCAUCAAGUGACGGUAACUACACAGAAAGGGACGGCUAACUACGUG
rnacentral:rRNA from 1 species